rnacentral:lncRNA from 10 species
CGCCAAUCUGCCAGGGUCGUUUUCCAUGUUGUGGAGGCUUUGUUCUUUGCUGUUUGCAAUAAAUCUUGCUGCUGCUCAGUGUUUGGGUCGGUGCCACCUUUGAGAACUGUAACACACAUGGCAAAGGUCCGUGGCUCUAUUCUUGAAGUCAGCCAGACCACAAAUGCACUAGAAGGAGCUAACUACAGACACAGUAGGGGCAAGAUGGAGUAGAUCUGCUGGUGGUAGAUGAAGUGGAGUUUGAAGAACGUCUUGAAACAAAAGAAUGAUGUAGAAAGUCACAAAAGGACGAAAGCCUGCAUUUUGGCUAAGUGUCUUUGUUGAAGUUGGUGGAAUGAUGCUGACACAGAAUAGAGCCAUCCUCAGCUGCCUUGCUGCAAAGUCCAUUUUACAUGGGAAGGGCCUGGUAUGCAGGGUGAUGACACCCUGAUGGUGGGGGUGCUGGCUGCAUUCUGACUGCCCCAGGAAAAAGAGGAGCAACUUGUUUUCAUUGUAAAGAAAGACAAAACCCGGGAUUGGCCUGUCUUUGAAAGGACACAGGCUUCACAGAGAGAGGACCCUGCCCACACCCCGGCUGCUUCAAGCCUGACCUGACGCCUUCCUGUGACCUGCGAAUACGACUUCCUAGACAAGGGUGGGGAUGGCUGUUUGCCAUCUAAAUCUUGAAAAGUACUUUUGGCUUAUCGGGUCAACUUGACCAGAAUGCACGAAUGAUCAAGGAGUCGCCCAGGUGUGCACCCCGGUCACAACAGUGAUGCUCAAGGGCUCUCCAAAGGAGGCAGGCUUGUGUGGACCCCAGAGGGACUCCUGAUCAGAAAUUGCAGAUGAAAUUUCUUACGGGUAGAGUUUAAAAUCGCUCAGGAAAAGCACUCAAAAAGAGUUGCAAGAUCAUGGAGUGAAUUCCAAGUGCUUUGUGCCUUGAGAGCACUGAACCGAUACGGUGAUAAGAAUAAUGGUUGGAGACCAGGUGUAAUUCUUCAAGUCUCAAAGGAAAUCACAGAAAAUUUCCAUUUUGGCAGCUGAGAUAAAAAUGAUCAAGGAAGAAGAGGUUUUGUCUGUUUUGUGUUCUAGCCCUUUAGAUAGAGUGGCUCAUUGCUUCCUAGUCAUAGGGAGCUGGAGUCAAUGCAGAAUGGGUUACCGGCCCCUCUCCUGUUGCUUCGAGUGUGGUUAUAUUGCAGAACAACGAAGCAACAUGCCUGCAAACUUACUGCAGCAAGCUAUCACCAGGUAAAAUGAUUUGGUGCGGAGUUUCUAUUAGAGACACUCAUCCCCAUCAGGACUGUGUUGCUGACAUUUUAGAUUGGCCCCAAUUUCCCUUAUGUAGAGUGAAAAUGCUUUGCUCUUGAGAACACGCAUUUUCUCAGUCAAAGAGCCUGCAAAAUCUUUGUACUUAAUUGGUUUGAUGUAAAAUUAAGGGUAAGACUGUUUGGCAUAUAAAGAAAUGAAAUCCUAUUUCCAUCCAUUCAUAAAAGAUAAAUAAAACUUGGCAUGAAAUAUAGCUAACUGCAGGAAAUGGAAAAUCUUAAAAGAUGUGUAUUAUUUGAGCUUUCUGUUUCAUUUUAAGGCAUGUUUUGGGUAAAUUGGGGGCAGUAUUGGCUGGGUCCAGAGUAAAUUAUACUAACUUUGUCCUUCUCUGUCUGGUAUGUAGGGAGUCUCUGUUCUGGUAGGUGGUGUUGGGACUUUGCAGAAGCUGAAGCUUUCUAGGCUCUGAAGAGACAUUUUUCUCCAAUUCCAUUAAUGUGAAAUGCCUUUUCUUUGCUUUCCCCCCACCCAGUAUGCAGCUUAAAAGACAGACAGUCACAGUUUUAAGUGUGAUCCACAGUGGUCAGAAAUUUGGAUUCCAUGUCAAAAUACAGAACUGUCAUCUCCUCAACUUAGAGUAUUUCUGAAAGUGAGGAACACAGUAGCACCUUUGGAAUGCAGAUCACUCAGACAACUUCCACCCCAAAUAUUUCCCAAUUCUGCAUGCAAAGCAAGCUGGGGCUUAGCUGUGUGGAACAGCCUUGCACCUCGUGCCCACACACGUCCCUCCUGAUCAGGCAUCCUGGCAAAGAGAGUCUUUAGUGAAAGAAAGCGUACUUCCUUCCCACUCUCCCCACACUGCUCCUCUCCUUCCUCUAGAAAGUAAACAUGUACAUGAUUAAAAAUCCCCUGAGCUCUGCACCUCACCAAGGCACACCCAUCUCUUCCUCAUUGUGGACUGAAAAGGCUCAUCUCAGGAGUUGAGACUGAUAUGGAGAACUUGAAUUAUGCAAGCCUGCGGAGAACCCGGCAUGGACAUGCUCUUAGGGGGUGCUUUAGCUCUUUUUAUUGAGACCCCCUAGUGGGGAGCCUGCUGUAUAUGCAGGAAUCCACACUAUGAUGCUCAGUUAGUGAAAUCCAUUGGACUUUCUUGAGAUGAAGGUUCUCCUUCCUAGAAAAGGAGCGCUGAACUCAUCUGUUUUGAUCAGGAGGGCUGCUGAGGUUGGGAAGAAGAGAAUGGCUGGAUUCAGAAAACUGAGGUUAUUGGUGUAUUUAUCCUACAUGUAAAAUUUCAGGAGGGUUGCUAACAAUAUCCAAAUGUUGAGUGGUUUUGAAACACAAGGCAUCAGUAAAAUUCUUUUAAGGUAAAAUCAAACAAAUCCAUGUUAUAAAAAGUUGUUUUAGGUUAUUUUCCUCCCAAUAAGAAUUUUUCUAGAAAAUUCAGUUCUCUCCAGAACUUCGUUUACAAUGUAGCAGGUUGCAGUUCUUCAGCUUGUUAGAAAUUACCCAUUCAUAACGUUUGACAUUGUGUCUUAAGACUGCCCUUGGGCCACCUUCCCUUGGCGCUCAGUGCUGUGGUGUGACUUGGAUUCCUUUGGUCAGGGUCCUUGCAGAAUACUUCUGCCAAGGCGGGGGUUGCUUAUGCAUGAGAGACAGAACUAGAGUACCAGAGUGUGAAAUUCUCCAAUAGAGGAGACAUUGCAUCUAAGACAAUAUUUUCAACCUGUUUCUCCACAAAUACUCUUUUAUUUUUAAAACUGAAUUUGCUAAACUGAAGCCAAUUGGCUUGUGGAUUAUGUAGCAACUACCAAACCAAAAGACAGAGAGUUGACAGGGAGAGAAACAAUGGGUUUGAAUGUCUCACGCUGUAUAGACUCCAUCUUUGGAAAUUCAGACAUAUCUAUAUCUUUGCAUCCGUUUAAUAUGCAACAAUCUUAAUAGGAAUAAGCAGAUGAAUCUAAUUUCACUUUUUCUGGCCUCUUCUGCUCCCAUCCUCUUCUGUGUCUGGUAUACAUCCAGGACAUUGUGUGAAAUUGAUACUUUUCUAUACUUUCUCUGCAAAAUAUUUUACGUUUCUGGGUAAUUAUGGUAUGCACAAUAGAUAAUUUUAAAAAUUACGGUUUCUAGGUCAAAUUAAUUCAGUUUUCUAUGUGAGAAAGAUGAGAAGCACAGAGAUUCUGGUUUCAAAUUUUAACAAUGCCAAAGCAUUAUUAACUAACUGGUAGGACUUGUGUUUUGCCUAUUGGUGAGGAGAAGUUUCAAAACAGUCUUCUGCAGUUCACAUUGGCAUCCAGUUAUAACAAAGAACUAACAGCAAGCAGCAAGUUGGUUUUGUAUUAUAAAAAUAUCAAAAGAGUAUUGAUUUGGGGGGAUAUUUUUUCUUUGGGAUUUUGCUAUGUAUCCAUAUUUCAAAGUAUAAAAUAAUCUUGUUCAUCAAAAUAUGUACUUGAUGAUCACCAUUGCCCAUUUUUUUGCAUCUAAAGUUGGUUUGAGUUGAAAAUUAAUAUUCACUAAUUUUUUUUUUUUAAUUUUGGCCGGGCAUGGUGGCUCAUGCCUGUAAUCCUAGCACUUUGGGAGGCUGAGGCGGGCAGAUCACCUGAGGUCAGGAGUUCGAGACCAGCCAGGCCAACAUGGUGAAACCCCGUCUCUACUAAAAAAACCCAAAAAACAAAAAACAAAAAUACAAAAAUUAGCCGGGUGUGGUAGCGCACACCUGUAGUCCCAGCCACUUGGGAAACUGAGGCAGGAAAAUCGCUUGAACAUGGGAGGCAGAGGUUGCAGUGAGCUAAGAUUGUGCCACUGCACUCCAGCCUGGCCAGGUGACAGAGCAUGACUCUGUCUCAAAAAAAUAAAAUAAAAAUAAAAUUUUAUCUACAUGUCUUUCACAUUCCGGUGUAUGUCUUCAAGAUAACAGGUUGUGUUCACUGUAUACCUUUCUUUGCAAAAUGACAAUUACCGAACCCAUAAUAAUAUAACAUAAGCUGGACACAUACUCGAGGGUUGAGCGUUGGUCUAGUGAAAAACAGCUCUUAAGGUGAAAUGCUGUUGAACUAGUCCAAGAACCCAAAGUUCAAAUAUUGUUGACUCUCAGUAAGUUGGAAUAAAGUAAUAACCUUCUGAUGUUCAGAGAUAAUCAUCUUUGACCCCAACAACAUGAGCAUUUUGAAAAUCUUAUUUUCUCCUCCAAUGGAAACCGUAGACAAUGCGAGUGUACUCUCCCCAGGCCUAGAACGAGGUUAUUAGGUAAAGGAGUGCCAGCUAACGAUGAUGGUGCUGGAGCCAGAGAGGCCACAGAGAAAGGAGACUGGGGUUGGAACCCACUGCUGUUCACACUGGAGCACACACAUGCCCAGGCUGAGCCAGCAGGAGUGGGUCUCGGCCAGGGGUGAUUCAACACUCCUGAGUGCUACUACACCCAGGGCUGCAAAGGAAAGAUACAGAAGGACUAGAGGCCUGAGAGAGCAUCUCAGACAUUCACGUGCACAUUUUACAGAUUUCUUUGCAAGGGUAAUCAG